rnacentral:rRNA from 1 species
CCCUUAGAUGUUCUGGGCCGCACGCGCGCUACACUGAUGCAUUCAACGAGUUUCUUCCUGGUCCGAGAGGAAUGGGUAACCUUUUGAAAGUGCAUCGUGAUAGGGAUAGACUAUUGCAAUUAUUGGUCUUCAACGAGGAAUUCCUAGUAGACGUAGUUCAUCAGACUGCAUCGAUUACGACCCUGCCCUUUGUACACACCGCCCGUCGCUCCUACCGAUUGAAUGCUCAGGUGAGCCAUUCGGACUUUCAUCAUGCUGGUUUCCAGUUUUGAUGAAGGAAAGUCUUGCGAACCUUAUCAUUUAGAGGAAGGAGAAGUCGUAACA